AUUCGGCUGACGAGUCUCAAAUAAGAUGAAACGCGAAUCCUGGAU
rnacentral:hammerhead_ribozyme from 1 species